AUAUCCAACCGCUAUCAUGUGCUGACGUGCCCUUGAGCACCGCUGCUCCAUGAAAUCCGCCAAAUGGCCUCGUGUCAAACAGAUUUUUUUGUAGUAGACGACUCCUCGGCGAGCAGACGCGUACCGCGCGAGCAUGUGUCGCACGCCGUCAACCUGCGGUGGGUAAAUAAAGGUUAUAAACAAAUAGCAAAGGGAUUGUGUGCAGCCAUCUGGCGGUGGCAGCUCUUUUAUAGUAGCAGACGCAACUCAUGUCGUCCCAGCGGGAUUCCAGCCAGUCCUCCGACGGCGCGUGGUGGAGCAUGGAUAAAGCCUUAUUCCGGUGCCCGAGAAGGAGACACGGAGACUGAGAGGGGGGGGGAGACGAGGAAGAGGAGUGAAAUAUUGAUGAGAAAUGGGAGGCACUAAAAUAGAGCAGCUCUGCAUUCGAAAUGGGGCGAAAAAGGGCAAAGGACACACACACAUGCACACACAUGGACACACACACACACACACACACACACACAAAACAAUAAAGUAGAUAAGUGAGUCUGAUACACACCCACACACACACUGUGGUAUUUUGUGCAAAACCAUGACUCAGCAGAAAAAGAACCCAUCCACUUCCCAGAAGUGCAUCUCACCGGGCUAAAAUAAGAGCUGGCCGUCGUCCAGAUCUUGUGUAUAAUGUCUGCUGCGUAGCAUCGCGCUUCAUCGGCUGCACAGCGUGAGGUCGGUUCCACGCGCAGUGUGUACAACGCAGAACCAGGACGGGAUGACGGCGGCAAAAAGCCCACGGCGCCUGUUCUAACAUGGAACGUUUACCCAGCUGACCUCGCAAUUAAAACACAACACACCCCCAAAAGCUAAGAAACCAAACUAACUAACUUCAUUCUAUGGUUCUCCACCUUCGGCGCUCGCGGGGUAAUUAAUUUGUUUGGCUUAAGAAUUACACCACCAGCUGACAGGUGUACGACUGAUAAGGCUCACCCCUGGGAGUCGUGGUCCGGAGAUCACGCCGAGAGGCAAUUACUAGAAAACUCCGACCUCCGGAGACGGAAUAUUUCUCUGCUUUGCAUGUAGGAUUUUGCAGCGUAAAAUCCAUAUGUUUUGUUGACCUUUGAAUGUAAAACCCGAAAAAACAGCUGCACACAAUAACAAUCCAAACACAACAGGAGUUGAGCUCUCUCUCUCACACACACACACACACACACACACACACACACACACACACACACACACACACACACACACACACACACACACACACACACACACACACACACACACACACACACAAAGCCUCGGCCAAUUGGAGUUAAUUGCCUCUGCGAAUGACUGAUUGGGUCCGAUUCUUACCGCAGCAGGGUCUUGGAAGGAAGCGGCGAUGAAAGGAGGAGGCAGAGAUAAAAACAAAAACAUCAACCUGUCACGAUGGGGCAAUUAACAGGUUGAUUAACUUCUAGCCGUUGCCAGACUUCUCCCCAGUGACCGCGCGUCUCGUCUGAGCGUGCGUGUCUGCUUCUUGUGUUGGGAUUGAUGCGGCGCCACCAUAGAUCUUCUCAAAUGUUCGGAACUGUAUCGAACACAGGCCGCUGUUGGUUUCCUCCAUCUCUGCUUUGAUACAAACGUGAGGCCAGUGCGUCGGAUGAGAGGCGCUCGUGACAACGCUCACCCUCGUUAACCCCAGAAGCCACACAUCAAACCUACUGUAUGUCUGUGUGGCAUCUACUGUAUGUGUAGUGAGUCUAUGUGAAGCAAGUUAGCUCACAAAUGGAGUAUUUUAUUAUUAGACGAUUUGUCUAAGUUCCUUCCAUAGACGUGUCUUGAAUAAAGUUGAAUUGAACUAGUUAUUAUUGGAGUCUCAAACAAAGGGGAAGCCUGACUUCCCUUGGCCUCCAGAAGAAAACACUACAGACUCCGUUGUUUUGAGCUGGAAUAAAUUUUACAUCUUCGUUUGCUUGAGACACAUAAGAGAAGUAGGUCAAAAUAAAAAAAGGAUGUGCUUGUCAUUAAACUGACAUUGAGUCAAGACAAUUUUUGAGUAAGAGGAGAAGCAGUGAGCUCACGUUCACAUUUAAAACCCGUUAAGACUAAUAAAUACGGUGAAACAAGAAGGAAUUGUUCAAAUCUAAAGACAGUAGUAGUGCAAUGUUUUCAUUUCUGUAUCAAACCUCUGAAUCUAAAUUCCUCCCACUUCGUUUACUGUGAGCGUGACUCACUUUUGAAACGGAACUGAAAUGGAUUCAACCUCAAACUGGCUUGUUGAACACACUCGUGAUAGAUCCUGGAAUGAUCGGGAGACUGGUUACCUUAGCAACCUCGCACCUUUACGGGAGCGAGGCGGAUCAGCUGACGGGCCCACGGUGAGGAGAGGCUGGCAGGUAGACGGACACGGGUUCGUUUGUGUCCCAAUUAGAGGAGAGAGAGAGGAGCGGGAGUUUCUGAAGAGCCCGACGAGGAUGCGACGCGCCGUGGAGCGAGGUGAGAGGGGGACAAAGGAGAGAGACGCGACGGAUGGAGGAGAGGACGGAGGAGCGGCAGUCACAAAGUCCUGCGGAACGAGGUGGAGGGGGUGUGCGAACCUGAACGCAGCUGUUGCGUUUGAGGCAGGUGAGCAGACACAAAAAACUGACACAAGAAGCACACGCGCAUGCAAUUAGGACAAAAUGACUGACAGCUGUGAAGGGAUGAGCGUUAAACCGGUGGGGUUUCAUCGGUUUGUCUGCGAGCGCCGAACGCAGACGCACCCGUCAGUUCCAACAAUCUGCUCCCAGCGUUCCCAGCAGCUGGCGACGGAAAUGGACCAGUUCAAAGGUGGGACAACGCGCGCCGUCACCACCGGAUGAAGAUUGUGCUCUGAUGAUGUGCAACGAUGAAAACACAGCUGAACACUCGAACCUCAGGUGUCCAACAAUGCACUUCCGGGUUGGAUGGUUUGAUCUGUAAAGGACCCAUUCAGGGUCAUAGUUGGAGCACGUGCUCCUGCUGGGGACGUUUAUCCGUCUCACCGGAAGCACCGUGCGCUAAAAUAUGGAAAACAAGGCGAUUGUUCUGCUCGCUGCAAACACUGGUAAUAAUUCAUGCUGAGUGGAUUAUCAUGACACUAAACCGGGCGAGAUAAAUUAUGAAGAAGCGUUUCGGAUCUGACACCACAGAUGGAAAAACACGGAUAAAGACAAUCGAUUCCGAGCACGUCUCCGGCGCCCGGACGAGGCUCGGCAAGCAAAAAGAGCCCGAGGACAUUGAGGGGGGAAGAGAGGACGGAGAAGAAGCACUGGAACAAGGCACGCCGGAGAUCAGGUCCGCGUGUUGUUUGCAGCGGGAGCUGGAGGUGAAUCACCGGUGGAGCCGAUUCGAAUGUUUUGGUGGUGGACUCAGUUCUGGUCGCUGGCAGCCCAGUGGGAAGCGUCGAGCAGCUUUUAAGGCACGACGCGACACUUUUAAUAUUCCAUCUACGCGCCUUCACUCCACUCGAGCUUUGAUUACAGUCAUCAUCCUUUCAAACCAAACCUGGAGAAUACGUUCUGUGAAACUUCACCUGGAAGCUCACACACACACACACACACACACACACACACACACACACACACACACACACACACACACACACACACACACACACACACACACACACACA